CCUGUUGUUGAGGAAGAUAAUGACGGUACUCAACAAGGAAGUGACGGCUAACUACGUGCCAGCAGCCGCGGUAAAACGUAGGUCACAAGCGUUGUCCGGAAUUACUGGGUGUAAAGGGAGCGCAGGCGGGARRACAAGUUGGAAGUGAAAUCCAUGGGCUCAACCCAUGAACUGCUUUCAAAACUGUUUUUCUUGAGUAGUGCAGAGGUAGGCGGAAUUCCCGGUGUAGCGGUGGAAUGCGUAGAUAUCGGGAGGAACACCAGUGGCGAAGGCGGCCUACUGGGCACCAACUGACGCUGAGGCUCGAAAGUGUGGGUAGCAAACAGGAUUAGAUACCCUGGUAGUCCACACCGUAAACGAUGAUUACUAGGUGUUGGAGGAUUGACCCYUUCAGUGCCGCAGUUAACACAAUAAGUAAUCCACCUGGGGAGUACGACCGCAAGGUUGAAACUCAAAGGAAUUGACGGGGGCCCGCACAAGCAGUGGAGUAUGUGGUUUAAUUCGACGCAACGCGAAGAACCUUACCAAGUCUUGACAUCCCUUGACGAUGCUGGAAACAGUAUUUCUCUUCGGAGCAMGGAGACAGGUGGUGCAUGGUUGUCGUCAGCUCGUGUCGUGAGAUGUUGGGUUAAGUCCCGCAACGAGCGCAACUCUUAUGGUCAGUUACUACGUGAUAGCCUCCUGGCCAGACUGCCGUUG
rnacentral:rRNA from 1 species